AUGUUUGCCGCCGCCGCCGCCGCCUCCUCUUCACUGGCGACCUGGCAACGGCAGCAGCAGCGGCGGUUCCUUCCGCAGCGGCGGCCCCACAGCAGCGGCGGCGGCGGCGGCGGCGGCGGCGCCCCCUCCCCUCACACUCAGACACGGCGAGCCGCGGCGGCGGGCGGGGCGGCGUGGGCACUGCUGCCGCCCCCUCCUCAGGAGCACCCGGCGAGGGGCGACCGGGGAGAAGCCCUCGCGCUUUCGUCGGUGCUGCUGCUGGUGCUACCGCCACUGCCGCCGCCGCCGGGAAUUACACGGGCUCCUCGGUCCCCGGCUGCAGCUCUUUUGGGGGAGGGGACACGGCGGGAAAGGGAGGGAGCGGGGCGGGCACCCGAGCGGGACACCCAAGCGGGGGGCCGAGUAGGUGUUUUUCUCCCCCCGCCCCCGGGCACGCCGCGAGGGCGGAGGCUGCAGGAGAGCCGGGCCCGCGCUGGGCACGGGGAAUCGAUGACUCGGCCGGCGGGAUUGGCCGGAGCCGCGGCGAUCGCGCUCGCCUCGCCGACCGCCAUUUCACAUCCUGCAGAGAAGGCGGGGGCAGCCGCGGAAACGGCCUUUUACAAGGUAACAUACCUGCUUUGUACAACAGCCUGUGCUGGACCACUGGACCACCUUCCUACACAGAUACUCAUCUCACCCCACCUGGGCUCUGAAAUAUCCUCUUCAGCCUGCCUGGAUGCCAACAUCUUGCGCUAGGCUAUCCCUUUGCAAGAACACUCCCCUUGCCUCACGUGAGCUCUGAAACCUCCUGCUGGGCUGUCCCUCCCACCCUCAUCGAAUCCUCAGCCCACCCGGGCUAUCCCAUGCUGGGCCACCCUCUCAGCCUGCUGUGGCUCAGAUGCUGAGCUAAGCUGAGCCUGUGUAGGAGUGGCCCUCUCCUCCUGCGUGCUUUUCUGGUGCUCUCAUUCUAUAAAGAUUUAUAUUAUCUGUGAAUAAUCAAAGUGUUUCCUCAAACUAGAGGUCUGUGUAUGUAUUACUGAUGAUCAAUCAGUAAUAACUUAUUUUUAUUUCAAUGAUGAUCUAAAAAAGUUACAUUAUAAACUAAUCAUAUCUGGAAUGUUCAUUUUCCAACCACGUUUAGUGUCAGUGCUUUGUGUUUUAAAUUGUGUUGGUACCACAUGAUUAUUAAUGCGGCAAUAUUUAACUUUUAAAGUGUCAGUGGUCUUCAGACUGGCAUUUCUGGCAUCAAAAUACAAAAACCAUCUUGAUUUCUGUUUGAUAAAAAUUAUAUUGAGUUAUCCUACCAAUUAAAAAGCUAAAACUGCUCUUUUUCAGAGA